CGUUACCUCUCGGUUCACUCCAGCCUGUUUCAGGCUUGCUUUUAAGACCUAUACUUCAGGUCUAGUGAAGUCUCCAGAGAGAUUAGAAUGUGGUGGCAACAAGGAAGUGUGCCUGUGUGUUUUAAGAGAUUUAUGAAUUCCAGAACUUGUGCAAUUCCACAGACCGAAGCCAUGGAGCUAUUUAUUUGUCCUGAAUGUAUGGACAGCAUUUUAUUGUUCUCGAAGAAAAAGCUAAACCAUAUGGAAAAUUUGUACAGUUCACAUCUUGAGCUGUGGCUCACCAUGGGACAAAAAGGAGCCAGAGGAGAGAAGGGAUAGAAGACAGGGCAGGCAGGUUGCUGUGGUGCCCACGGGUUGACAAACUUUUUCUGUAAAUGGAGUCCUGCCCAGUCCUCUGAAGUAAAUACCACAGCCAAAAGAUAACUGGAGGGCCGGGGAAGAUGUGAUGCAGCUGUCUCAGCAGUUCCACAGGAGAAUAGGAUAUGGAUGUAUCCAAUUAAAGCAGUCCAGCGAAGUCACCUCGUCCUGAAGCCUUUUACAUUCUCCAAGCCCAGGGGGACAGCUGCCCUCAUUUGAAGCUCCCGGGAGGAACCUGACCGGUUUUGGAAGAGCGGCCACCUUCUAUAUGUGUUUUCAGUCCUCCCUUUUUACUAGCGUAUGUUUGAAAUACAUAAUAGAUA